CCUACGGGAGGCAGCAGUAGGGAAUCUUUCACAAUGGGCGAAAGCCUGAUGGAGCAACACCGCGUGCAGGAUGAAGGCCUUCGGGUUGUAAACUGCUUUUAUAAGCGAGAAAUAUGAUGGUAACUUAUGAAUAAGGAUCGGCUAACUACGUGCCAGCAGCCGCGGUCAUACGUAGGAUCCGAGCAUUAUCCGGAGUGACUGGGUGUAAAGAGUUGCGUAGGUGGCAUAAUAAGUAGCUAGUGAAAUCUGGUGGCUCAACCAUUCAGACUAUUAGCUAAACUGUUAAGCUCGAGACCGUUAGGGGUAACUGGAAUGUCUAGUGUAGGAGUGAAAUCCGUAGAUAUUAGAAGGAACACCAAUAGCGUAGGCAGGUUGCUGGGACGGUUCUGACACUAAGGCACGAAAGCGUAGGGAGCAAACGGGAUUAGAUACCCCUGUAGUC
rnacentral:rRNA from 1 species